GCAGAAACCAGAGCGAAGGCAAAACAGCUGAGAUGAUCGUCACAACUUUCCGUCGUCAGUUUAGGCAAUUUCUACGCCUUCCUUCAGCUCUCAGGGUUCCUCAAGUGGCGGCAACGGGUCAAAUAAGGCACCAUGGCUCUUAUUAUCCAGUUAACGACGGCAUGUUUGGUCUCACGGAAGAAGAACAGCAGCUCCGCAAAACGGUCUUUGACUUUGCCCAGAAGGAACUGGCUAAGCAACAGAAAUUGACAUGGAAAACACCUUCACAGAGAUGAGGGAAUUCUGGAAAAAAAAUGGGCCAUCUUGGGUUACUCGGCAUCACUGCAGAUCCAGAGUAUGGUGGCUCGGGCAUGGGGUAUUUCGACCACUGUAUUGUGAUGGAGGAGCUCUCAAGGGCGGCUGGUGGGAUAGCACUGUCUUACGGUGCCGAUUCAAACCUUUGCGUCAACCAGAUCAACCGCAAUGGCACCUUGGAGCAGAAGGAGAAAUAUUUACCGAAGCGAGGAAAGCCACGAUCGUGUCAGCUAAACUCCCGGACCGGCAACGCACCAACAAUACAACCUUCGCAGCCCCGCCGAGGGAAGCUGAUUGAUAUUCAACAAGUCUCGUGUUAUGAGACUGGAUUCCUGUUCGACAGCGCGCAAGAUCAGAGGCUAAAGGGCGACAGGUGUGUACAGGGGGAGUCACAGCAUUUGUGUAAAUCGGAAAUUUCUGAUCCUUUCUGGCCCAUCUAUGAAGUGAUCUCAUUCAAGAUUUUAGUCAGUCUACGAAGCUUUAAAGCAAUUAUAUAAGUGUUAAACUUUUCUUUAAAAAAAAAGAAAAAAAGGCCGUAAUACACAAUAUUGCAAAGUAAUGAUUUACUAAAGUAAACAGACUAUUCUUUAUUGUUAUAAUCAUUAUCAUAUCAUCAUCAUUAUUAUUUUCAUUAUCACUAUCAACAUCAUUGUUAUUAUUAUCAUUAUUAUUAUCAUUAUUAUUAUUAUUAUUAUUAUUAUUAUUAUUUAUCCUAAUCCUUACUGUAAAGGAUAGUUUAGGGUUUGAAUUUAGAUUUCUUGGCAGUUGUGCAAAAGGCCCUUUAUUCAUUGGCUUUAGAUUACUGAUAGGUUUUCUGAUCAACAUUUUUUCGACGAGCUGCUUCAAGAUGUGUAUUUAGUGGCAGCAUUACAAGGGCACAAAGUUAAGACUGUAUACUCCAUUCAGAGGCCGGUUGAAAAGGAUACUCACCUCCCUUACCAUAUGCCUUUCUAUUUUCACCGCCUCUUCUCUCUCUCUCUGCCCCCCUCACCCCCUCUCUCUCUCACUCUCUCUCUCUGCCCCCCUCACCCCCUCUCUCUCUCACUCUCU
rnacentral:lncRNA from 1 species